GUAAGGAAUAUUGCUCAAUGGGGGAAAUCCUGAAGCAGCAACGCCGCGUGGAGGAUGAAGGGUCUAUGACUUGUAAACUCCUGUAAAGAAGGAAAAAAUUCCCAUUUGAUGGGAGAUGAUGGUACUUCUGGAGUAAGCCCCGGCUAACUACGUGCCAGCAGCCGCGGUAAUACGUAGGGGGCAAGCGUUGUCCGGAUUUACUGGGUGUAAAGGGUGCUCAGGCGGAUUUGUAAGUCAGAGGUGAAAUCUUACAGCUUAACUGUGAAACUGCCUUUGAUACUGCAAGCCUAGAGUAUGGAAGAGAGUGAUGGAAUAUCUGGUGUAGCAGUGAAAUGCGUAGAUAUCAGAUAGAACACCAAUGGCGAAGGCAGUCACUUGGUCCAUUACUGACGCUAAAGCACGAAAGCGUGGGUAGCAAACA
rnacentral:rRNA from 1 species